rnacentral:rRNA from 1 species
GACGAACCGUGCGAACGUUGUUCGGAAUCACUGGGCUUAAAGGGCGCGUAGGCGGGCACGCAAGUCAGGGGUGAAAGCCCGCGGCUCAACCGCGGAAGCGCCUUUGAUACUGCGUGCCUCGAGGGGGGUAGGGGCGUGCGGAACUUACGGUGUAGCGGUGAAAUGCGUAGAUAUCGUAAGGAAGACCAGUGGCGAAGGCGGGUCGUCUGGACAGUUCCUGACGCUGAGGCACGAAGGCCAGGGGAGCAAACCGGGG